GCCCAGGGCAGCCCGGUUACAAGGUAGGAACGUGCUUCCUGCCAGGCUAGCCUGGCUAAAAAGCAAGAAACGUGCUUCUUCCUGUCGUUCUGCUGUGUUACGACCCCAAAGACGUUGGUCAAGUUGCCCUUUUCUUUUGCAGAUAAAUGUCACACUGGCAUUCCCUGAGCCAAAGGGUAUGGCCCUUGUGCACAGCCAGUCUGUGCCAGUUUAAAACACUACCGGGACUUAUAGAAUCCAUGGCUCACAACCCCGCCCACAGCCAAUUUUUAAACUUAUUCUUGUUGGUGGCACACUGGGCACAAUGGGACCCUCAGAACACUUCUUAGUGUGCUCCUUUUAAAUUCCUGACAAGGUGGAAAUGUCCCAGUGUGUGUCCCUUCAGCUCAGAGUUUUUGAUCACUGUCCACUGGGUCAGUACCUGGUUUCUUCUGGAAACGUGCACUAAGUGGCCACCCUCCCUGAGCCUUCUGCAGGGUUAGGCUUGUACCUAUUUGCUGCUUUUUACCAUAACCAGUCACUGAUCUCACUGCGAGUUUGCCUCCAGACUACUCUUUCCACGCAGCCAUGGCCUGAGGCUCCAUCGGUGAGAGGGGCUUAGUGGCCCCACGCCCUUGCUCACAGAGGCGGAGGCAGGCACCCCCCGGCCCGCACUGCUUUCACUGCUUUCCCCACAUGGGUCCGGCAGACCACAGCCACCCGGCCUGGCCUCACCUGCAGCUUCCGCAGCUGCUUGAUGGCUUCCUCCCGGUUCUUGUUGGCUGUGUCGAUGUGGAGCCUCCAGGUCCUUCAGGUUCACCUCCAGCCGCAGCUUGGCAUCCUCGGUGGCCUGCAGCUCAUCUUCCAGCUCCUCAAGCUGAGUCUUCAUCUCCUCCACUUGCUGCUCCAGGGCCCGCUUGGACUUCUCCAACUCGUGGACCUGAGCCCAGAAGCCCAGGUCAGGCCAGAGGCAUGGACAGGCGUACACACCCUGGCCCUGUGCGAUGUCCCACAUGGUGCUCUCCAGAGGCCCCUUGGCCCACCCAGCACUCACACUCUUGCCCACGCCGUCCUUAGAGCUCAUGAGGUCCUCCAUCUCCGUUCGGAACUGCUUGUUGAGGCGCUCCAGCUCCGCCUUCUGCUCCAUGGCCUCCUCCAGCGCCCCGGGCGAGCGACAGGGCCUUGGUCUCCUUCUCUCGGGCCUCUGCCUCGGCCCGGUCCCGCUCCUCAGCAUACUUGGCAGAGAUGGUUUUCUCCUCGGCCAGGAGCUAGUAAGAGGCACCCACCGUGAGGCCAGGGCGUGGACAGCUGGGGACCACUGUGGGCACUGCAGCCAGCCCCAGGCUCUGCAGGAAAUGAGGACCUGGAUGCCGGGUCUGAGCCGCACCAGGCCCAGGAUGAGCAACUCAAGCCUGCUGCCCAGGAGCUGGCUGGAUCAGAGGGUGACAGUCACAGUGUAGUGCGCCCCUGUGCCAGACACCACGCCUUAACCUCUGUUUCACUGUUAUCACCGAGUAACGUGGAUCCUGUAUGUCACACAGUGCUCCUUCCACAAGCCAAAGGAAUCGCUCAUUCCCUCCCAGAACCUGGAAAACCCCUGAACAAUGGGGUUGGCCUUUUUCUUGAAGAGAACAUGAGUCUGGCUGCUCUGAAGCCCGAAUGCCAAGUGCAGCCUCCUCCAGAAAUGCCAUCAGUGGGCUGGGCAUUUAGCUCAGUGGCACCACACCUGCCUCGAAAGUGCAAGAUCCUGAGUUCGAUCCCCAGUACCAAAAAAAAAAAAUGCCAUCAGCCACUCUGGUGUCUGUCUCUGCACAGACCCGCUCCUGGCUCUACCUGACCUCCGCCUUCCCCUUCCCUUUGCCCUGCUCCUCUUUGACGCCACAAGUUGUUAACUUUCUUCGUAAAGGGUUGAGAGCAUUCCUUAGACUCUGUAGGUCCUACAGUCUGGAGCAACUACCCAGCUCCGCUACUCCAGCAUAAAUAGCCAGAAUCAACAUGUAAACGGGCAUGGCUGUGGCCCAUAAACCUUACAAAACAGUGGUGGGGUGGAUCUGGCUGUAGUUUGCUGGCAUCCUGAUUUACUUAUUCUAUUAUUCUAUCUGGCCCUGGUGUCGGCAUCUCUGUAAGCUGUCUUGACUCUUGGAAUGAGGAAUAGAUAUGAACAUGUACAUAAAACAUUUUAAAUAGUAAAAUCAGACCAUUUUAGAAUUUUGGAGUUUAAAAAGAAACAGAUAAAGGGAAAGGCCGCUCCUGACCCUAUCACACGGACACUCCCUCUUCUCGGGCGCUUUCUUCCCAGGCCCCUUAGCAAGCUGGCAACUAAGGCCCCACUCAGCUUGCUCCCAGACUCUGCAGACUCUGAAGUGGCCUUGCCCUUGGCUGUGGGCUGGAGAGAGAGAUGCGAGAGCCAAGCUGUGGCCACACACCUGGUCAAACUUCUUCUGCUUCUUCUCGAGGUUGGAGACGCUCUGCCGCUGGUGGUCCAAGUCCACCAGCAGGUCGUCCAGCUCCUGCUGUAGCC
ensembl:lncRNA